UACGUAGGGGGCGAGCGUUGUCCGAAGUUACUGGGCGUAAAGCGCGCGUAGGCGGGGGGACAAGUCUGCUGUGAAAGCCCGGAGCUCAACUCCGGAGGGUCGGUGGAUACUGUCCGUCUUGAAGUGGCUAGGGGGAGAUGGAAUUACCGGUGUAGCGGUGAAAUGCGUAGAGAUCGGUAGGAACACCAGUGGCGAAGGCGGUCUCCUGGGGCCCACUUGACGCUGAGGCGCGAAAGCUGGGGGAGCAAACGGG
rnacentral:rRNA from 1 species